rnacentral:rRNA from 1 species
CCUGGCGCGCGGGGCCUCUUUCGGGAGCGCCGAUGUCGUCGGAAAGAUGACCAACCUUGAAUAUUUAGAGGAAGUAAAAGUCGUAACAAGGUUGCUGUAGGUGAACCUGCAGCAGGAUCAUUA